UACGUAGGGUGCGAGCGUUGUCCGGAAUUACUGGGCGUAAAGAGCUCGUAGGUGGUUUGUCGCGUUUGUUCGUGAAAACCGGGGGCUUAACCCUCGGCGUGCGGGCGAUACGGGCAGACUUGGAGUACUGCAGGGAGGACUGGAAUUCCUGGUGUAGCGGUGGAAUGCGCAGAUAUCAGGAGGAACACCGGUGGCGAAGGCGGGUCUCUGGGCAGUAACUGACGCUGAGGAGCGAAAGCGUGGGGAGCGAACAGG
rnacentral:rRNA from 1 species